UACGAAGGUGGCAAGCGUUGUUCGGAUUUACUGGGCGUACAGGGAGCGUAGGCGGUUGGGUAAGCCCUUCGUGAAAUCUCCGGGCCUAACCCGGAAAGUGCGGAGGGGACUGCUCGGCUAGAGGAUGGGAGAGGAGCGCGGAAUUCCCGGUGUAGCGGUGAAAUGCGUAGAGAUCGGGAGGAAGGCCGGUGGCGAAAGCGGCUUCCUGGACCAGUACCGACGUUCAGGCACGAAAGCGUGGGGAGCAAACAGG
rnacentral:rRNA from 1 species